rnacentral:rRNA from 1 species
GACAGAGGGGGCAAGCGUUGCUCGGAAUUACUGGGCGUAAAGGGCGCGUAGGCGGGAUGGCAAGUCGGUCGUGAAAUCCUUCGGCUCAACCGAAGAACGUCGAUCGAUACUGCUGUUCUUGAGGGUUGCAGAGGAGACUGGAAUUCCCGGUGUAGCGGUGAAAUGUGUAGAGAUCGGGAGGAACACCGGUGGCGAAGGCGGCCAUCUGGACGGUGACUGACGCUGAGACGCGAAAGCGUGGGGAGCAAACAGG